rnacentral:rRNA from 1 species
UACGUAGGGUGCGAGCGUUAAUCGGAAUUACUGGGCGUAAAGUGUGCGCAGGCGGCCGCGCAAGUCGAGUGUGAAAGCCCCGAGCUUAACUUGGGAAUUGCGCUCGAAACUACGUGGCUGGAGUGUGGCAGAGGAAGGUGGAAUUCCACGUGUAGCGGUGAAAUGCGUAGAGAUGUGGAGGAACACCGAUGGCGAAGGCAGCCUUCUGGGCCAACACUGACGCUCAUGCACGAAAGCGUGGGGAGCGAACGGG